rnacentral:tRNA from 1 species
UGGUAGCUCAGCUGGAUAGAGCGACUGCCUCCUAAGCAGUAGGCCGUGAGUUCGAAUCUCGCCC